UCCGGUUUCGAGCUGCCAGUCCCGGCGUCUCGUUGCCGGCUGGGAACUCGGGGAGCCGGAUUCCCGCAGCCCUCUGUGGCCGCCGCGCUGGAGCUCGGCGGGCGCGCGGACAGCUCCCGCCGGCGUUCUAGCACCUUCCGAGCCCCGGAGCAGGGCCCGACAGUGGUGCUGGGGAGAGCCGGGAGGGAGACCGCGGUCCUCUUGGAGGGGUUCUUUGCCAAACGUUGAGGAAUACGCAAUGACCAAGCCAGACGAGGUCCUUGCCCUAGGAGCUUCUGGUCCGGGCAGAGGGUGGAGAAAGGGAGGUU